rnacentral:tRNA from 1 species
GUUAAUAUGGCUGAAAUUUAGGCGAUAGAUUGUAAAUCUAUUUAUGGACUCUAUGUUCUUUUAACA